CUGGCUCAGGACAAACGCUGGCGGAAUGUAUUAGGCAUGCAAGUCGCACGAACCGUUCGGUUAGUGGCGGACGGGUGAGUAACACGUGGGUAACCUGCCUCGUAGUGGGGAAUAACUCGCCGAAAGGCGAGCUAAUACCGCAUAUAACUCCUGGUGAGAAUCCGGGAAGUAAAAGCUCCGGCGCUACGAGAGGGGCCCGCGGCCGAUUAGCUUGUUGGUGGGGUAAUGGCCUACCAAGGCGACGAUCGGUAGCUGGUCUGAGAGGAUGGUCAGCCACACGGGGCAUGAGAAAUGGCCACUACAACCAAGGUAGGCAGCAGGCGCGUAAAUUACCCAAUCCUGACAGAGGGAGGUAGUGACAAUAAAUAACAAUGAAUUUAUGGAAAGUAAGUUGAAUUGGAAUGAGAACAAUAUAAAACCCUUAUCGAGGAACAAUUUCAGGGCAAGUUCUGGUGCCAGCAGCCGCGGUAAUUCCAGCUGAAAAAGCGUAUACGAAUAUUGUUGCAGUUAAAAACGCUCGUAGUUGGAAAG
rnacentral:rRNA from 1 species